GACGAACGCUGGCGGCGUGCUUAACACAUGCAAGUCGAACGGUCCUGUUUUUGAAGCGCUUCGGCGUGGAGGGAGCGGGUUAGUGGCGCACGGGUGAGUAAUGCGCGAGGACCUGCCCGCGGGAGGGGGACAGCAGUUGGAAACGGCUGGUGAUACCCCGUAAGCCGGGAGGUAAAAGGGCGGAGACGCCCGCCUGCGGAUGGACUCGCGUCCUAUCAGCUAGUUGGUGAGGCAACGGCUCACCAAGGCGACGACGGGUAGCCGGCCUGAGAGGGUGAACGGCCACACUGGGACUGAGACACGGCCCAGACUCCUACGGGGGGCAGCAGUGGGGGAGUCUUGCACAAUGGGCGGAAGCCUGAUGCAGCGACGCCGCGUGAGCGAAGAAGGCCUCGGUUGUAAGACUCUGUCUGGAGGGACGGAAACGAAAUAGACGGUACCGUCCGGACGGAAGGACCACGGCGUAACUACGUGCCAGCAGCCGCGGUAAAGUAGUGUGUA
rnacentral:rRNA from 1 species